UGACUCUCUUUCCCUACACGAUCCCCUCUUGUCUCUUUGCUAACUCACCAUCAAACUGGGCCAUCUUUUCACACAGCUUGACUUCUCCGAGAACAGCCUUGAACUGAGGCUGGUUGACGCAGGUGACAAAC